CGAGAAGAGCACACUCACAUUAUUCUGAUUAUUAGUGAUCAAGUUAGAAAAAUGAGCCCAUCUGGUAUUUCUAAUUGCUUUAUUGCUCUCUCAGAAUAUCAUAAUCGACCUGCAACUUUGAUUUCCUUCACUUCCGCUAUUCUGCAAUCUAUUAGUUUCCUCACUCAUCCUCUGUUUGAAUGUGGCCUUUUUCAACUUUACUGGAGCUGUAGCAUCAAUGGUUGCCCUUCAUUUUCUAUUAAAGUGAUCAACUAAAUUAUCAAAAGAGGAAGGCAGAAUCGGUGAUGGAGUAUUGCUCAUACAUACACUCAAUGAAAUCUGUAGAGGUAAGAUCUUCAGCGGUAAGAUAGCGUUUCUUAAUAAUGCGUUCAGUAUUACCCUGUGCUAUGGUUAACAAGGUAGUACAAAAUACACAGUGGGGAUCAGAUAAAGCAUCAUCAUCAACAAUAGAGAAUGUCAAUAGAAAGCCCCUUGGCAAUAAUCAGGUCCAGAGUAUUGGUAUGGUUAUGGUUGGGCCCAGUAGAGCUCAAAAUAUUCAGAAAUGCAAUGGCCUUGGAGUCAGUCUCUGUCAACAUGAAUAUUAAAAUCACCCAACACAAUGAUUUUGUCAUAGUUCUCAAGGACAAUAGACAAUAGUAAAUACAAAUCAGUAAAGAAAGUGGGGCAGUGCUUUGGUGACCUAUACAGAGUUAUGGCCAGCACUGGUGGCUGACAUUUAAACAGUAUAGCAUGAUGCUCAAAAGACCCAAAGUCGAAAUGAAAUGUCCUUACAGCUGAGAGCAUUAGUAAAAAUGGAACCUGUCCCCCCACCCUUUCCCCCUUUUCUGAUAGGGGGGGUCAAUAAAAGUGGCACUACAGUCUGAAGACAGCCAUGUUUCAGUGACAUGCAAAUCAACUUUGCGCUCAGUAAUGAGGUCAUUCACGAGAAAGAUUUUACUAGUGAUUUCUCUCGUGAUCUGCCUUGAGGUAACCAAUGGAAUAACAAUCAAAUUAAAAUUAAAACCACAUUUUCUGACAGUCUCCAAUCUAUCAGAAUGGUAGGAGAUGACAGUUUGUAUAAACUCACUAGAAGGUAGAGUUAAAGGAACAUAAAUUAGGUUACUCACAACGACCAUAGUGCAAUUUCUAUAGGAGUUGAUAUGGUUUCCAAGUCCUCUGUUGCUUAUUCUGACAGGAAGAACUGGGGCACUACCAGACCCUGUCUGUCAGUCUAUAAAACAGUUUGCGAUGUUGUUGGAAAUAAUCCUGGAACCCCUGCGGUUAGGGUGAAUCCCGUCUCUUUUGAAAAGUGCUGGUUGCUCCCACAGCAAAUCAAAGUUGUCAUAAAAAGAGACAUUCCUGUCGUUGCAAAGUUUCUUCAGGUACUCGUUUAGGGUAAAGAGUCGGCUGAAACGUCCAGGAGGACAGGAGGGGCAGAGAUAACUAUUAUCUUCCCUGCGCUAACGAGGGUCUUUAAAAAAAAUGUAGUCCUCCCUCAGUUCCUCAAAUCACCUAAAACGAAGGUUGUUAAAACCUAUGUGAGUGACAUUGGUUUCAAUAUUGGAGUAGUUGGCCAGAACCGUGGGCAGGAGAGAUUUGAUGUCAUGGACACGGGCACCUGGGUAACAGUGGACCUUGGUCAGUCCACAGACCGUAGGAAGGCCAAAAUCUCUCACCAUCGGGCUGCCCACAAUGAUGGGGGUAGUGAUAGAAUCCGAUGGGGAAAUUACCUGCUGACUCCCGGGGCUCGUAGGUCCGUCUGAAGUGGGGCAAAGCUGUGUGAUAGCUGGAUCGGAUCUUCUUGGACAGACGGGUGGCCAGACUGCCUCCUCGAUCUCCUAUGCCUUGCGAGUGUCCAGUCUCCCAUGGGCCGUGGAGUUGAGCCUAACGUCUGUCUGUUGGAUUGGGACAGAUCAACGCCGCCGACUCAUCAACAGCUUUGCUAUAGGAGGAAUUUAAAACUGAGAUUUGGUUUGCCUGAGUUACAGCAAGAGGCCAGCCAUGGAGGACAGGAGACUUCCCCCUACAGUGCCCUUAGUGGUCAAAACUGAGCCAGACACAGAGACCCGUAGGGUGAGAGAGGAGGAACAGCCUACCAUUCCCAUCAGGGUUAAAAAAGAGGACCUCUCUGAAGUGCCCCUCAAAGUGCCCAGAUUCAAGUACGUGGACUUCCCUUCGCUACACCAGUGCAUCCAGCAGCUCACUGUGCCACCCCUGGACAGCUGGCUGGAAGGCUUUCCCCUGGCUCUGGGAAGACCCUCUGGAGGACACACCCCUGUCACUUCCAAGGAGAGAGUUCCCAAGUUUCGGUAUGUAGAUUAUCCCUCCCUGCACCACUGCAUCCAGCAGCUGUCUGUGCCGCCUCUGGAGAGCUGGAGCUCGGGGUUGGCCAGGUCAGGGUGUGGGGUGACAGGUGGACCUGGAUCCACCAACCCUCAGCCCAGCUCUGUGAGGGAGAAUCAGACAAUACAGGGAGAUGGUUCAGCAUCGGCUCACAAACAGGACAAGUAUACUGCUUUCCCCUUUCCUGGUCCUGACUCCGGCUCCAUCCAGUGUGUGACCUCCUCAAACAAGGCAUCCCAUAAGCCUCAGCGGCUUCAGCUGCGCUUGAGCAGUCCAACCGGAACCAGGCCCGCAUUAAGCUCACAGGGGGAAGAGGCUCGCCAUAAGGUGGUGUGUUCAGAUCAGCUGUCUCAAAAGUUCUCUAAUCCCAAAUCUUGGGUUGCUGGAAUGAAGCGUGUCAGAGGAGCGGGCCCACUCCAUCAGAGCAAUAGGAAGUCAGCUGGUGAUGAUGAAUGGCAUGCAGACCUAAAGAAAACUCCACAAAGUCAUCAAGAGGCCCAAGUAAAGCUAAGUGACUCUCCUGACCUAGGACAAGGGUUUUGGAGAACCAUCCCAGAGUCUGUCUGCCCCUUUUGCCAAAAGAUGUUUUCAGAUCCAGAGGAAUUGCGGAUCCACCAGAAGAGUCACAGAGAAAAGAAGCCUCAUUGAUGUCUUGACCAAGGAAAUGUACAGCUGACAACAAUGAACAUCUUAAAAACUGUGCAUCUACUUCAGUACUUGCUACACAGGCGUGGACUAGGGCUGGCUUCUCCACAAAUGAUUGGUCACCUGAUAAGAUUUCCACUGAGGUUGUUUUGAGUGUUCAGUGUUAAUCUUGAUGACCUAAGUGACUGACUAUAAACAAACCACUUUAGCUAAGGGCUUCAUUCAUAAUUCAGUCUAGGAAUUAAGCUCUCAAUGUGAAAAACUGACCUGCAGUGGCUCUUGGUGGUCUUACAACUCCUUAUUUACCUAUGGGUUAAUUUGCCAGGAGGUGGUACACAUUAGAUGAGAUAGAACAAGGAAAUGAGCCAUUUGAUGUUGUUUAAAUUAAAAUGUCAGGAAUUAGAUUGAAAUGCAAUGCAGUGCAUACAUUUUUGUAUUACUGUAGUUGAGAAUUAGACUUUCAUUUAUUUUCCUUAAAAGGGAUGCCAAUGUUUUCCUGUUUACAAGCUGUUCUUGGCAGAAACAUUAAUAAGUGGGGGUAUCAGCACCUUGUUCACUGGAGAUGGCUGCCUGUUCCAAUAUUUCAACAUAAUUAUCUAGAUUUGGGUGCCUAUAAAACCUUUAACUUUUGGCUUAUGCUGCGAAACAACACAUGCUUCUUUAUAAUUUCUUAUCUAAUGUUUUUAUGCUUUGUAUUUUAAUGUUUCUUUUUUACCAUGACAAUUAUAUGUAUAUUAUUGAUUGUAUUGUCUAGAAAUAACUUUAAACUUUUCUUAAACUUUGUUUUAAAUUCUGUGUGCAUUAAAGAUUUUCUAGUAAAGAUGACUCUACUUUACAUCUCCAACAAAUGCUUUACACUUACAAG
rnacentral:lncRNA from 1 species